rnacentral:rRNA from 1 species
GGAAUUUUGGACAAUGGGGGCAAACCUGAUCCAGCCAUGCCGCGUGAGUGAAGAAGGCCUUUGGGUUGUAAAGCUCUUUUGGCGGGGAAGAAAAGGCACCGGGUAAUAUCCCUUGUGGAUGACGGUACCCGCAUAAGAAGCACCGGCUAAAUACGUGCCAGCAGCCGCGGUAAUACGUAGGGUGCGAGCGUUUAUCUGAAUUAUUGGGGGUAAAGCGUGCGCAGGCGGUUUUUUAAGACAGACGUGAAAUCCCCGGGCUCAACCCGGGAAAUGCGUUUGUGAGUGCGAGGGUAGAGUACGGCAGAGGGGGGUGGAAUUUCACGUGUAGCACUGAAAUGCGUAGAGAUGUGGAGGAAAACCGAUGGGGAAGGCAGCCCCCUGGGUUAGUACUGACGCUCAUGCACGAAAGCGUGGGGAGCAAACACGAUUAGAUACCCCGGUAGUCCACGCCCUAAACGAUGUCAAAUAGGUGUUGGAAGGGUUAAACCUUUUAGUACCGCAGCUAACGCG